rnacentral:rRNA from 1 species
AUUGAACGCUGGCGGCAUGCCUUACACAUGCAAGUCGAACGGCAGCACGGGUGCUUGCACCUGGUGGCGAGUGGCGAACGGGUGAGUAAUACAUCGGAACGUACCUUAUCGUGGGGGAUAACGCAGCGAAAGCUGUGCUAAUACCGCAUACGCCCUGAGGGGGAAAGCGGGGGAUCGAAAGACCUCGCGCGAUUAGAGCGGCCGAUGCCUGAUUAGCUUGUUGGUGGGUAAAGCCCACCAAGGCGACGAUCAGUAGCUGGUCUGAGAGGACGAUCAGCCACACUGGGACUGAGACACGGCCCAGACUCCUACGGGAGGCAGCAGUGGGGAAUUUUGGACAAUGGGGGAAACCCUGAUCCAGCAAUGCCGCGUGCAGGAUGAAGGCCUUCGGGUU